rnacentral:rRNA from 1 species
AUUGAACGCUGGCGGCAGGCCUAACACAUGCAAGUCGAGCGGAUGAAGGGAGCUUGCUCCUGGAUUCAGCGGCGGACGGGUGAGUAAUGCCUAGGAAUCUGCCUGGCUGUGGGGGAUAACGUCCGGAAACGGGCGCUAAUACCGCAUACGCCCUGAGGGCGAAAGUGGGGGAGCUUCGGACCUCACGCUCUCAGAUGAGCCUAGGUCGGAUUAGCUAGUUGGUGGGGUAAAGGCCUACCAAGGCGACGAUCCGUAACUGGUCUGAGAGGAUGAUCAGUCACACUGGAACUGAGACACGGUCCAGACUCCUACGGGAGGCAGCAGUGGGGAAUAUUGGACAAUGGGCGAAAGCCUGAUCCAGCCAUGCCGCGUGUGUGAAGAAGGUCUUCGGAUUGUAAAGCACUUUAAGUUGGGAGGAAGGGCAGUAAGUUAAUACCUUGCUGUUUUGACGUUACCAACAGAAUAAGCACCGGCUAACUUCGUG